rnacentral:lncRNA from 1 species
AUGGGAACUCAAAAGAGAAGUGAUUCGCCUAAGGUCAUCCAGUUCCUGAGCAGCAAAGAAAGGACUAGAGUCCAAACCUUCAGAUUGUGGUACAAUGGAUGGAGUGCUGGACCAGAAAUCAGGAAGACUCCUCUUUGUGAAUUCAAGCUUUGUGACCCUGGAGUCAUGGAAGUUCAAUGUUGAGACAAAAGUCAAGACAUCUGGCAAUGGCUCAGGAUG